rnacentral:rRNA from 1 species
GACGAACGCUGGCGGCGUGCCUAAUACAUGCAAGUAGAACGCUGAAGAGAGGAGCUUGCUCUUCUUGGAUGAGUUGCGAACGGGUGAGUAACGCGUAGGUAACCUGCCUUGUAGCGGGGGAUAACUAUUGGAAACGAUAGCUAAUACCGCAUAACAAUGGAUGACACAUGUCAUUUAUUUGAAAGGGGCAAUUGCUCCACUACAAGAUGGACCUGCGUUGUAUUAGCUAGUAGGUGAGGUAACGGCUCACCUAGGCGACGAUACAUAGCCGACCUGAGAGGGUGAUCGGCCGCACUGGGACUGAGACACGGCCCAGACUCCUACGGGAGGCAGCAGUAGGGAAUCUUCGGCAAUGGGGGCAACCCUGACCGAGCAACGCCGCGUGAGGGAAGAAGGUUUUCGGAUCGUAAAGCUCUGUUGUAAGUCAAGAACGAGUGUGAGAGUGGAAAGUUCACACUGUGACGGUAGCUUACCAGAAAGGGACGGCUAACUACGUG